ACUAGACUUGUCAUGGAUCCUUUUAAAACAAUGACCCUCUGGACCUUUUCCUACUGACUGGGCAAGGUCAUCUUCAAGAUUUUCAGAUUGGCCAUUCUGUGCAGCCGGUGGAGGUACUUUUUCUGUUUUCUCUCAUCUUUCCGCAAUUUUGAUGCCACAUUUCGAGCAAAUUCCCUCUGUUUUAGCUCCUUAAGCCUCUGUUGGGAAAGUUGGAAGAGUAAUAAGCAACAUGUAUGUGAAACAGUUUCAGACUUCCUCCCUGGACCUUCAUGCCCCUCUCCUCCCACACCGACAAGGAGCUUCUAAUCCCAGUCCCAGGUUCAACCCCACCUGCUUCACCUCACGCACUUCCUGACUUUCACUAAAAGUUUCUCCUUUCUUCCUUCAAAACGGCUCUCUCUCAGGCUAAAUAAUCCUACUCAUUACCAUGCGCAAUACCCACAGCAGCUUCUCUCUCUGUUCAGUUCACUGCUCAAACCCCAGACUGUGGCACAUUCACUUCCUGUUCUCUAACCCCAACAAUUUGCAAACAACUUCAAAUCUAAAGUCGACCUGAUCCACCAAAGCAUUAACCCCAUCUCCUCGUAUGACUUUCUCCCCAUCAGUAUGAAGCUUCCUAGAGCAUUCCUACCCAGUCACUGUAGGUAAAGUGUCAAAGCUGCUCUCCUCCCCAGCCAGCCUCCCCAGAUCUGUCCUGUUGUUCUGCACGCAUUUUAACUCCUCCAUUUCAAUUGGUAUAUUUCCAUUGACACCUAUACUUAAAAAGCCUUAAAGGGGAUCUGUCACCCUAAGAAAUAAUUCCAAU